CAAAACCACUAGGGGUGUCAAAUCUUUGACUGAGAGAGGUUAUUCCUUAACUCUUAGAACCUGAUCUAGUUCAUUACUAGCGUAGGGAAGUGGUGUUAGAAGAUU
rnacentral:ncRNA from 2 species